rnacentral:misc_RNA from 1 species
CUGACGGCCGCACGACUGCUGGCUGUUGUUGCUACUUCCUGCUUGCUCGGUUGCUCACUUGCUCCCUGUACGGCCGCACCACACAGUUACACACCAGCCACCAGGCACGGGCGCUGCUGGCUGUUGCCUCCUGGUUCCUGCACCGAGGAGCUUCGAGCUUGCUGGCGGGUCGAGGUCGGCCGCUACCGCUACGGCCUCAGGCGGCGGCCGAUGGUUACUCGGCUGGGCAGCUUCCCGCCGUCCCCUGCGCUGCACGGCGUGGGUUGGACAUGGGAGCGUGGCUGCGUGGGUGGGGGUGUGGGGCGGCGGCAGUCCGUGUGGAUGAGCCAGGCGACGGCGGUCCGUGAGGGUAAGGGGUGA